GAAAACCACGUGAUCACCCACGCUUGCAGUUCAGAGUCGCUGAGACAACAGGAACAGCAGAUGCUGGAGCAUCUGAGAUGACACGGUGUGUAGCUGGAUGAACACAGCAGGUCAAGCAGCAUCAGGCGAGCAGGAAAGCUGAUGUUUCGGGCCUAGAUCCUUCGCUGAGACCAAGAUUUGUGCAAUUGAGAUACCAGCGAUCGUUGCCAAAGCCCUGUUACCUGUGGAGAAGAUGAUGUUUAACUUUCGUGUCCUGCUGCAUUUUGUAUGCUGAAGGACUGUGCGGUAGUCGCUGUUAUCAAUCCUGACAGGGACAGAUGCAUCUGCAGCUGGGAAAUUCGUGACAAUGAGAUCUGCUAUGUUUUUCCCUUCUGUUGGUUGUGUCAGCACCUGCUGCAGUCCCAGCCAAGCAGCUUUGAUGAGCUUGAUUGGUGAUCCUGAUGCUGAACUACUCCUGAUGGUCGACAAUGUGGAAAUCACUGGCUGGACCAACAUUUAUUGCCCAUCCCUCAUUGCCCCAAAGGCAGUUAAGAGUCAACCACAUUGCUGUGGGUUUGGAGUUGCAUGUCAUGCAGACCAGGAUAAUAGAAGUGGACUUUCAGGUGGGGAACUCAAUAAUUGUAACAACAAACUCUGACAGAAUUACUCAAUUCAUCAGCACCUGGAUAUUCGCAUUGUGUGAGAGUGUUGUGUUCCUGCUCAUUUCCCAUUUACCGUGUAAAAUUUCUCUCUUAAAUCACCCCAUUCUCUCAAUAGAUCGUCUCUGAAAUUUUCAGUGUGUCCUGUAAUCUUUUUUAUGAUCAGUCAUGUGUACAUUUUAUCAUCCUAAAGUGUUUCUUUUGCCAACACCUCUAUCAAAGGUCGCCACAAAACCCUUUGUUACAAGGAGAACAAUCUCCGUUUCCCCAUCACCUGAUUCCUCAAUGACUGUUUGCUGUCUAUAAGGCACUCGUCUGGAUUGUGUUGGAACAUUUUCCACUUCCUUGCAUGAGUACAGCCCCAACACUAUUAGAAAAAGUGAACAUCCUCCAGGUGAAGCAGUGUGACAGAGUCGUGUCCCAUCCACCACAUGCAACAUUCCCCUCUACACCACCGAGGCACAGUGGCAUCACUGUGCCAAAGGUAAAGUCACCAUUGUCCUACCUGACCAUAGGGCUGGUUUAACCCGAAGAUAACCACACCGUGGGUGAAGGGAGAGGUUGAGAAGGAGAGUCCGUCUAUUUUAGAUGGAUAUUCUCAAUAUGUACGAACAAUGCCCAGGUCACAUGAAAGAAUAAUGUUAAAAAACAAGCACUAACCAUGCAACUAAAAACCCUCUUCCUACAAACCAUUCUGUUAAAUCUCUUCUUCCCCCUAUCAGGGACCAUCCCGUCCUUCACAGUGUGUGGGGGAUCUUUGGUUUGCACAGACUCAGCUCGUCUUUCCUGUCUGUGAUGUCAUCAUGCUGUGACAAUGGCACUGAACAUCACUGUCUGUGAGGGUGGUGGGCACAGAGAUCCUCAUAGCGUUUAAGACAUAUUCAGAUGCCCACUUGUGAUGCCAACGCAGACAGGUCUAUGGGCCAAGUGCUGGAAAAUUAGCUUAGAAUAGUUAGGUGAUGGUUUUUAACUGGCACAGGCUGGAUGGGCCCCAAAGCCUUUUUCUGGACUGUAGACCUCCGAGACGCUUCACAUAGGAAGAUGCCAAACAAUAUUUCAAGCCAUUUCAGAAAAUGAGAUAUUAAAAUAUAUGACUCAUGAUUACCUCACUUUUCUACAAAAAACAUUGAGCAUAGAGAUGAAGUGGUUUACCAAGAAAUUCUGGAGCUUGAAUCCCAGGAAAUUGCAAGUGCCACCAUCAAGUGGAAGAAUAAAAAUGGGAUCUGAUGAAGGGUCUAGGCCCGAAACGUCAGCUUUUGAGCUCUUGAGAUGCUGCUUGGCCUGCUGUGUUCAUCCAGCUCCACACUUUGUUAUCAAAAGGACUGUAUUAGAGGAAAGCACAAUUUUGCUUCCAAUUAGCAAGCUCUUCCUGAAUCACAUGUGAUCUAACUUUACUCAUCAGUCUACCAUGUGGAACUCUGUCAAAAGCUUCACUCUCAUUCCAGAGGUGCUGCAAAUCUGAUCCAAUCCCCCUGCCAUUUGUCCACCGCCCUCUUGAUCAUGCCUUGAAAAGUUAAUAAAUGUGAGAUAUUGUGUUUUGGUAAAGUGUAGGACUUAAACAAUUGAUGUUUGCACCCAGGGUAGAGUUGUGGAGCAGAGAAAUGCGGAGAUUCAGGUAGAUACUACUUUGAAGUUUAUGGAGAUAGGUAGACAGGGUGGUUACCAAGUUGUUUCGCACACUUGCCUUCAUUACUCAACCUUUGGAGUCUCGGAGUUGGGAUGUUAUGUUGAGAUUGUACAGUACAUGGUGAAGCUUCAUUUGAGGUAUUGUGUGCAGUUCUGGUCGCCCUGUUACAUGAAGGAUGUUAUUAUUAAACUGGAGACAGUUCAGAAAAGAUUUGCUGGGAUGUUACCAGGAAUGGAGGGCUCGAUUAUUAAAAUAGACUGCCAAAUCUAGGACUUUUCUCACUGGAGCAUAGGAUGUUAAGGGUUGACCUUACAGAGGCUUAUAAAAUCAUGAGGGCACAGAUCAUGUGAAUAUUAAGGGCUUUUUUCCCUAGGUUGGGGGAUUUCAAGACAAGGGGACAUAUGUGUAAGAUGAGAGGAGAAAGACACAUUUUAAAAAAGGCAUGAGGCUGAGAUAGUAAAAAAGUAUUUCACAUGCCUAUUUACUGCAGAGAAGGAUAUGGAAGCUAGAGAGCUUGGAGACAUAAAUAAUGAGUCGUCAGAAGUGUCCAUAUUACAGUGGUCUAGGUGCUGGACGUCUUAAACUGCAUAAAGGUGGAUAGGUCCUUGGCACCUGAUCAGGUGUUACCCACAAACUCUGGGAGAAGCUGGGGAAGUAAUUGCUGGCCCCCUUGCUGAGGUAUUUGUAUCACUGACACUAGUGAGGUGCCAGAAGUCUGGGUGGCUAAUGUGGUGCCAUUCUUUAAGGAAAAGCCAGAGGACUAUCGACCGUUGAGCCUGAUGUCAGUGGUGGGUAAAUUGCUGGAGGGGAUUCUGAGGGAGAGGAUUUGCAUGUGUUUAGAGAAGCAAAGACUGAUUAGGGAUGGUAGACAUGGCUUUGUGAGUGGGAAAUCUUGUCUCACUAACUUGACUGAGUUUUUUGAAGAAUUGACAAAGAAGAUUGAAGAAGCCAAAGCAAUGGACAUUGUCUAUAUGGACUUCAGCAAGGCAUUCACCAAAGCUCCACAUGAUAGACUGGUUAGCAAGAUUAGAUCAAAUGGAAUCCAGGGAGAGUUAGCUAUUUCAAACAAAAUUGGCAUGAAGGGAGAAGACAGGAUCGUAGUAAGGGGUUGGGGUUGUCUAUUUUUUCAGUCUGGAGCACUAUGAACAGCAGUGUGCUGCAAGGAUCGGUGCUGGGUCCACCGCUUUUUGUCAUUGAUACAAAUCACGUGGAAUGCAUAUUGGAGGAAUGGUUAGUAAGUGUGCCGAUGACACAAAUUGUUGUAGUAAACGGCAAAGAAGUUUGCCUCCAAGUACAAUGGGAACUUAAUCAGAUGGGCCAAUGGGCCAAGGAGUGACAGAAAUCAGUUUAGUUUGGAUAAAUGCGAGCUAUUGCAUUAUGGUGAUGAAAAUCAGGGCAGGACUUAAACAGUUAAUGAUGAGGCCCUGGGGACUGUUACACAACAGAGACUCCUUGGGGUGCAGGUGCACAGUUCCUUGAAGGUGGAUGGCAGGUACAGAAGGUAGUGAAGAUGAUAUUUGCUGUGCUUGCAUUUAUUGGUCAGUGCAUUGAGUGUAGGAGUUGGGAGGUCAUGUUAUAGGCUGAACAAGACAUUGAUUAUGCUGCUUUUGGAAUAUUGUGUUCAGUUCUGGUCUCCCUGCUAUAGGAAUGAUGCUGUUAAACUUGGCAGGGUGCAGAAAAGAUUUACAAGGAUGUUGCAGGAGGUGGAAAUUUUGAGCUGCAGGGAGAGGCUGAAUAUGCUACGGCUAUUUUCCCUGGAACAUUGAAGGCUGAGAGGUGACCUUAUAGCAAUGAAUAAAAUUAUGGUGGGCAUAGGGUGAAUAGCCAGUUUAAGCUGAGAGGGAAAGUUUUUUUUUUAAAGGGAAAGUUGGUGGUGCCUGUGUAGAAUGAGCUGCUCGAGGAACUGGUGGAAGCUGCGACAAUUAUGACAUUUAAGAGGCAUCUGGAUGGGUAUGUGAAUAGGAAGGGGUUAGAGGAAUAUGGGUCAAAUGCUUGCAAAUGGGAUUAGAUUAAUUUAGGAUAUCUGAUCGGUACGGACAACUGGGACCAAAGGGAUUUUUUCGUGCUGUACAAC